GACGAACGCUGGCGGCGUGCUUAACACAUGCAAGUCGAACGGAAAGGCCCUGCUUUUGUGGGGUGCUCGAGUGGCGAACGGGUGAGUAACACGUGAGUAACCUGCCCUUGACUUUGGGAUAACUUCAGGAAACUGGGGCUAAUACCGGAUAGGAGCUCCUGCUGCAUGGUGGGGGUUGGAAAGUUUCGGCGGUUGGGGAUGGACUCGCGGCUUAUCAGCUUGUUGGUGGGGUAGUGGCUUACCAAGGCUUUGACGGGUAGCCGGCCUGAGAGGGUGACCGGCCACAUUGGGCCUGAGAUACGGCCCAGACUCCAACGGGAGGCAGCAGUGGGGAAUAUUGCACAAUGGGCGGAAGCCUGAUGCAGCAACGCCGCGUGCGGGAUGACGGCCUUCGGGUUGUAAACCGCUUUCGCCUGUGACGAAGCGUGAGUGACGGUAAUGGGUAAAGAAGCACCGGCUAACUACGUG
rnacentral:rRNA from 1 species